GCAAGGUGUAGCACCUUCCUGAUGUUUGCUUUACCUUGUUUCUUCAGUGACACUUCAUCUCUUUGUUGUCAGAGUUGAGAAAUUAACUUAAAUAACAAUAAAACAUUUUACUGAUGUAUUGCUGAUAUCAACAGUCCAUAUCCUAAAAUAUAAUUCUAAUCCUUUUUUUGCUACACAGUACGGAAUCUGGGUCUGAACCCUUUGGGCGAGGACACAGGGACAGCAGAUGUCCUAUCACGUCUUAUCAUUGAACGAGAGGACAGAAAUAUUCCACCACUUUUCUUCCCCUGUGGCUCGAUUAAAA